GGGGGGGGGGGGGGGGGGGGGGGGGGCGGGGGGGGCGGGGGGGGGGGGGGGGGGGGGGGGGGCACGGGGGGGGGACGGGUGGGAAGCGGCCCUUAGGGUCGGAGUAACUCCCCGAAAGGGGUGCUACAUACCGGAUAGUGUCGUCGGACCACAGAUUUAUCGCCUUUGGAGGGGCCCGCGUUGGAUUAGCUAGUUGGUAGGGUAAAAGCCUACCAAGGCGACGAUCCAUAGCUGGUCUGAGAGGAUGAUCAGCCACACUGGGACUGAGACACGGCCCAGACUCCUACGGGAGGCAGCAGUGGGGAAUAUUGGACAAUGGGCGAAAGCCUGAUCCAGCAAUGCCGCGUGAGUGAUGAAGGCCUUAGGGUUGUAAAGCUCUUUUACCCGGGAUGAUAAUGACAGUACCGGGAGAAUAAGCGCCGGCUAACUCCGUG
rnacentral:rRNA from 1 species